rnacentral:rRNA from 1 species
UACGAAGGGGGCUAGCGUUGCUCGGAAUUACUGGGCGUAAAGCGCACGUAGGCGGCUUGUUAAGUCAGGGGUGAAAUCCUGGAGCUCAACUCCAGAACUGCCUUUGAUACUGGCGAGCUUGAGUUCGGGAGAGGUGAGUGGAACUUGCGAGUGUAGAGGUGAAAUUCGUAGAUAUUGGGAAGAACACCAGUGGCGAAGGCGCCCGCUGGGCAGUGGCUGACGCUGAGGCGCGA